rnacentral:rRNA from 1 species
GCCAACAGUUGCCAGCAUGGUCCUCCGGGGAUGAUGGGGACACUGUUGGGACCGCCUCUGCUAAAGAGGAGGAAGGGAAUGGGCAACGGUAGGUCAGCAUGCCCCGAAUUAUCCGGGCUACACGCGGGCUACAAUGGUCAGGACAAUGGGUAUCGACACCGAGAGGUGGAGGCAAUCUCCUAAACCUGUCCUUAGUUCGGAUUGUGGGCUGCAACUCGCCCACAUGAAGCUGGAAUCCGUAGUAAUCGCGUUUCAAAAUAGCGCGGUGAAUAUGUCCCUGCUCCUU